UGGGGAAUUUUGGACAAUGGGCGAAAGCCUGAUCCAGCAAUGCCGCGUGUGUGGAGAAGGCCUUCGGGUUGUAAAGCACUUUUGUCCGGAAAGAAAUCCUUGGCUCUAAUACAGUCGGGGGAUGACGGUACCGGAAGAAUAAGCACCGGCUAACUACGUGCCAGCAGCCGCGGUAAUACGUAGGGUGCAAGCGUUAAUCGGAAUUACUGGGCGUAAAGCGUGCGCAGGCGGUUUGCUAAGACCGAUGUGAAAUCCCCGGGCUCAACCUGGGAACUGCAUUGGUGACUGGCAGGCUAGAGUAUGGCAGAGGGGGGUAGAAUUCCACGUGUAGCAGUGAAAUGCGUAGAGAUGUGGAGGAAUACCGAUGGCGAAGGCAGCCCCCUGGGCCAAUACUGACGCUCAUGCACGAAAGCGUGGGGAGCAAACAGGAUUAGAUACCCUGGUAGUCCACGCCCUAAACGAUGUCAACUAGUUGUUGGGGAUUCAUUUCCUUAGUAACGUAGCUAACGCGUGAAGUUGACCGCCUGGGGAGUACGGUCGCAAGAUUAAAACUCAAAUGAAUUGACGGGGUCAUAGCUGUUUCCU
rnacentral:rRNA from 1 species